UUAAAGUUUUUUAGCUUUAAAUUUUUGUUAAACUUUAUUUUAAAUGUAAAUUUUAGUAUUAAUAAUUUUAAAUUUAAAUAAUUAAAGAUUUUAUUAAAAAUUUACAGUAAUUAGAUUUAGGAAUUUAAGUAAUUAAGUCUUAGUAAUUGUUUUAGUAUAAACUAAAUUUGUGCCAGCAGUUGCGGUUAUACAAAUUAUGCAAUAAAAAUUUAUUUGGUAUUAGUAAAUUAAAUAAUUGAAUUUAUAAAAAAAUUUAUUAAGUGAAAUUUUAAAUUUUUAUAAAUUUUUAUGAAUUAAUUAGGCUAAUAAAUUUUAUAUAAAACUAGGAUUAGAUACCCUAUUAUAAAAAAGUAAAUUUUAAUACUAAAUUAGUAUCAAUAUUUUGAAAAUUAAAAAUAUUGGCGGUAUUUUAGUCUGUUUAGAGGAACCUGUUCUAUAAAUGAUAUUCCACGAUUUAAUUUACUUAUUUUUUUUAGUUUGUAUAUCGCCGUAGGUUGAAUAUUUUAAAUGAAUUUUAAUAUUCAAAAUUUUUAUUUAAAAUAAAUCAGGUCAAGAUAUAGUUUAUAAAUAAGUAGAAAUGGGUUACAUUAUUUAUAUGUAUAAUUAGAUAUUUUAUUGUAAAUAGAAUUGAAAUUGGAUUUAAAAGUAAUUUUUUAUUAAUUUAAGAAAUGAUUUAAGCUCUAGAAUAUGUACAUAUUGCCCGUCGCUUUCACUUUAAAGUGAAAUAAGUCGUAACAUAGUAGAAGUACUGGAAAGUGUUUCUAGAAAUUC
rnacentral:ncRNA from 1 species